rnacentral:lncRNA from 1 species
CCAAAUCUAUUAACCCUCAAAUCCCAAACUAUCAAAUAGAUUAUUGCCCCAUAAAUAAACCAAAUCCAACAAAUUGAACUUUAAACCUACUAUUUAAAUUCCCCAAUUUGGAAUUACUCAAAUUAGCUAAAACAACACAAAAAUUCCUCAUUGAUCAACCCUACAACAAACAAAUUAUAGCUCAAAUAAACAAAACCAUAGAUUAAUUUUUCUUAGAAGGCGAAAAUUUUGAAAAAAAGAAGAAGAAAAGUGUACCUCCACGAUCGACCAGAACAUAGGUAGGAAGAGAACCAGGCUUGGAUAUAACCGAAAUCCCAAAGUCAUCAAAACCUUUACAAGCUUUUCGGUUUUCUUCAGGGUAAACCACAACACCAGCCAUGCUUCCACCACAUUGAGGUAUCCCAAAGUUCCCAAUCGCACUAUCAUGGGUUGCUUUAAUCUUCUCCGGCGAUGUUACCGCCAAGCUCUUCUUUUCCACCACGAAUCUCGCGUAACAAUUGCGUAUCAAAGAUAAUAAAAUAAACACUUGAGGAAGAUGAUGAUGAUGGAAUGUUCGUAGCUCCAUAUCUUUACUUUUGGUUUUGGAUUUGGAUUGGAUCAGUUUUAAGGACGAUACUGAUGAAGAAGAUGAAGAUCGUGUAUGAAAAACAUGUAAAAUGAAAUGGUUUUUUUGAAAAAAAUAAAAACAGUGAAAAUCGCCAUUAAAUAAUUCUAUGAUUCUUUUAUUUGUUUUAAAUGAAUUUAGAACACAGUUAGUGAAAUUUUGACACGCUACUAAUAAAUAAUCUUAGUCAUUUAUAGAUUAAACAUUUUUCUUUUUUUUAAACAGUGCAAUGAGACCAAAUCCAGUCAUCUGAAGUAAACUUAAUGGGUUUAUGUUUUUCUUAGCCCCUAAAUUUUCACCUACCGUUUAAUUUAGUACAUGUUAAAAAAAAUCCAAUUUAGUCAUUUGUAUUAUACGUGACGGUCUUCUACAUAUACGAAGUCGUUUAAGUUUCGUUCCGGUGAAGAUUUCAAUAUGCUUAGCAUGUUCCAAAGUCCUUUGGCCCAUUCUAGCCAGUAUCGGCCCGUAUCAAUUGGUACAAAAUUUUGAUAUUUAAACUUAUCUUUUAAUUUUUUAUCUUAAACAUUUUAACUUUUUAUAACUACGUUUAAAAUUAAAAUAAACUGAAGCUAUUGAACCAAUUAAUAGAUUUAAAACUUAUUUUUACAUAUAGAUAGAUGUAAUUGAAAUAUAUCAAGAAAUUUUUCGAUGCAUUUAGCACAUAAAAUCCUCCAAAAAAUAAGGAAAACAGUUAAAUAAUAUAACAUGAAGGAUUCAACAAAAACAACCAACAAGGAACAUCACAUUAUUCUUGGAUAACGGCAAUAAUUGUAUCAUUACUGAUUAUCAUCAGUUCUUCAUGGCGCAUCUCUCUAUGCAGGUAUUGACGCAGCCGACAACUUCCUUUGAAGCUGACAAAAACAAAACAAAUCAUUAAGUUAAUAUACGUACUUACUUACCAUCAAAUAUUAAUAUAAAACGGAAAAAGAAAAAUUACCAGGCAUCCUCCCUUGGCUGCUUAGCAUUGAACAUGUCAUGGCAGCACACCCAACAGUGCAGAAUACGGAGCUGCUCGCGAGGUGGGUUUCCUCCAAUGUCUCCACCAGUGCUUCUGACGGCAGGCAGCGUUGAAUACAUUCCCCAAGGGAAGUUCCGUUGGCGACGCAAGUCGUUACGCAAAAAGUAUACCCAAGUCCAAUCGGGACAAGUGCUGUAACAGCUUGACGCGAGGGACUAACAAGGAUCAACAACAGCAAACAGAACAUCAACGCCAAUGAUUUCCCCCCCAUUAUGUAUAUAUUUGAUUUGAUUUGAUAAUGAUUUUUUUGCACUGCUUGAUAUCGGUGUUAUAUACACUUUGAUUGUCAUGCCAAACUACCAAACUGCCUAAUUAAGAUGCCAAACUAUAAUGCCAAAAUUUGAUUGAAUGCAAAAUUAAAAGAACAUUUCUAUAAGUAAUCAAAAUAAUUUGAAAUGAAUUUGUCAUGCCAAACUACAUGGAAAAUGUCUAAUGUCUUGUCCUUUUUUUAGAAUUCUUCCUAAUAAUCUAAAUUCUUCCUAACCAUCCCAAAUAUUCUGAUUGUCAAUGUUCUUUCUCAGAUGUCAUGAAUCACAAAUGAACACUAAACCUUUAACUUCAUAUUUUAAACAUUAACAUCGAAGUAAACACUUAAACCGUGCAAAUAAAAUCUUGAUUCUCACCUUCACAGUGACUGUAUCCAUCUCCUUUGAUUUGCUCGCUAUCAACCAAGAGACAUUCACAAACUCUUCCUCGAAAUGUAUCUUAAGAAGAAAAUCAAUAUAUUCAAAUAAGCUCAUGGAGUAGAGAAUCCCUAUCAAAUCUGUUUCGAUUCAUACCCUGCAGGCUGUGAGAUUUGCUGCUUUUUCUUGCCAACAACCACCAUCAUUUUCCAAGCAUUCAUUCGUCUCCACAUCUGUGAAAAAAGUAACCGCCAUCACUGGUGUUUCAAAUAACAACUGGACAGUAAGUUGAAACACUACACUGGAUUUCUAAAAGCCUAGCUCUCGCCUAUGUUACUUAGUGUGAGAGUUGGAUAAGACAUAUGUCUGACAUGGACAUGUGCAAGUUGUUCUUCAUUUUCCCUGUAUUCAGAGUGUUUUUGGAGGGUCACAUCCCCAUACUCGUCUAUGAAAACGUGUCAGACACGGGUUCUCAAGAGAGGUAAAGAGUCAGCACCCCUAAGUGGAACCAGACUAAAAUACUUCUCUUGCAAGAAAAAUAAAACAAGACAAACUCACCACCACUCGAACAAACAGCUGGUUCAGUAGUCUCCUCGAAGCCGGCACAUAUGGCCUUCAAAACAGCACCUUUGGCCAGCUUUCCUGCAUGCAGAUAUGUUAAACGCGGAAAGCACCCAAAAUUUUAUCUGGGAAAUACGGGUAUAAAUACGAACCUCGAUAUUGGCGAUUGUUGACAACAAGUCUAGGCAAUAUGGUAACAUCUCCUCUAGAUCCUUUCCCCGCCUAUGAAAAUGUUUCUAUUAAAUAGCCUCAAAAAGGUCAAAGAAGACAACGAAUUGGAAAAAGAGUAGUGAAACAUAAAAUAUCUUAGCCUGAGAGGACUACUUGAGCAUCUUGUUCUUCUUCCAGAACAGGAUUCUCCAUAUCAGCAUCUGGAUCUCCCAAACACUUUUCGAUCUUUUUAGCGUCAAGCCCUGAAUGGAUGACAAAGGAAUAUCAUCAAUUUAUUACUAGUUUCCAGCAAGAUUUUGAGUUUUCACUGUGCUAUUAAUACUAACAGAAAUUUGAAGAUAAACCGAGGAUCUUCCAAUUAACUGUUUACCAAGAGAUUUGAUAACACCGUCUGCACAUUCCUUAUUAUAUCUUUUCUACUUCAUUGGCCAUCUUAUUUCAAAAUCAGUCACAUAGUCCCACCACACCCAAGGCCUAUUGGUCUCAUUUGCCACUUUGAAAACGCAAAGCUGCCUUAAGGUCUCAAUAACUACAUCUUUCCCUUCAUAACCUGAGCUAAAACCUUGUUCAGGAUCCGGUGCACAGUAUCUUCCGCGGUUGAUGCAUUGAGAUAUGCACUGCCGGCUUAGGGUGAAAGCUUGAGGGCAGUACCAAGUUAUAUAAUGGGGUGUGAACUGCGUAUAGCCACCUUUUUCGAGAAUCUUAGCAGCACCCUUGAAAUCCUUCACAAAUGCCAUCAGCAUAUCGCAUUUAACUCCACAUUCAUCAUUGCUCUUGGUCCAUAACUCGUACUCGUCACGAUCAUCAGGGUUAGAGUUUCACCAGAAGUUUUCUCGAUAAGGGCAGAUGAACUGUCCUCUUCGCGAUUGUCCCUGGUUAUUAAUGCUUCUUCUAUGUCAUCCGCAACAAGCACUGCAGAAGCACUGCUUGCCAUACAUUCCAAAUCUUUAAAGCAAAGAAGCAAUCUGGAGAAAUAAUAAGAAAAAAGGCGCUAAAUGCAGUCUCCGCAAAUAUAUAUAUAUAUCAAAAACUAAAGAAAAAUUACAUCUAAGACCAUAACUCAAUCAAGGACAAUAAGCAAAUUUUACAACCUUGGCAGCAACUGGAGUCCGUAUAUAGGCAACACUUCAGAUUUUUCUCAUCUCUUUAACAGUGUAAUCACAUUAUAGUAAUGUAACUGAAUUAUCUAAUCCGGAAGUAACUAUAAGCCAUUACUACCUAAUGCUUAGAUCAACCAGCAUUCUGAACCUCAUUUUUAUCACCAUACAUCUGUUUGAGAACCAACCAAACUCAAAUCGUACACUCUAAAUCUAUGUUCACUCGGACUCGGGUAUGAGUUUCAAAUGUAGGCACAUGUUUGAGACGGAUAUGUUAGUUUUGGUUUUUCAUGUAUCUGGAGGAUCUUUGAAAAGUCAUGUGUCGCCCAUAUGCAUGUUCGGAUAUUGAGUCUAGAACGGGUACUUCAGACGGAUAUCCAGAGGAUCAUUAACAGCAUAAUCGCGUUGCAGUAAUGUAACUGAAUUAUCUAAUCCGGAGGUAACUAUAAGCCAUUACUACGAAAUGCUUAGAUCACCAUUAUUUUGAAACUCGUUUUUAUUAUCAUCCAUCUGUUUAAGAACCAACCAAACUCAAAUCAUACACUCUAAAUCUCUGUUUACUCCGACUUGGGUAUGAGUUUCAAAUAAAGGUAUGUGUUUGACACUGAUAUAUUCAAUUUUUCUUCAUGUACCUAGGGGAUCUUUGAGAAGACAUAUCACCGCACACAUGUUCAGAUAUUGAGUCCAAAACCGGUACUUCAAGCAAAACUGAGACUCAGAGAAACUUAGCUCUAAACCACUUUAUCCAUACUGGAGAAAACUAUACGCCAUUACUACGAAAUUCUUAGAUAACCAGCAUUUUGAAAUUCAUUUUUAUUAUCAUACAUCUGCCUUGAGAACCAACCCAACCCAAAGCAUAUAUGUUCACUUGGACUCUGGGUGUGAGUUUCAAAUACAGGUAUGUGUUUGACACGGAUAUAUUCAAAUUUUUGUUCAUGUACCUAGAAGGAUCUUUGAAAAAUCAGAUCACCGUACACAUGUUCGGAUAUUGAGUCUAAAACUGGUACUUAAAGCAAAACCAAGAAUCUGAGAAACUUAGCUCUACUUUUGUAGACACCUCUAAGGCUACAUCCCUAUGAAAGGAGGGAAAUGAAGCUAAAUGAAUGGACCUAAUUUCAGAAAACAACUAGUAAGAUAAAAAGAGAGAAAGACAUCCGUCCAAACAACUUAAAGCAAAGCUGAAAACAAGUAAAUUAAUUCAUAAAUGAACGGAUAAAUAUAUAAAUAAUGAUAAUGAAAUCAAUGGAAACUGAUAAACCUAAAUUUAUUUAAAUGAAUUAGUUAAAAUAUAAUAACAUAAAUCCAAGUAGAUGGAAAAACCAAAUCUAUUAACCCUCAAAUCCCAAACUAUCAAAUAGAUUAUUGCCCCAUAAAUAAACCAAAUCCAACAAAUUGAACUUUAAACCUACUAUUUAAAUUCCCCAAUUUGGAAUUACUCAAAUUAGCUAAAACAACACAAAAAUUCCUCAUUGAUCAACCCUACAACAAACAAAUUAUAGCUCAAAUAAACAAAACCAUAGAUUAAUUUUUCUUAGAAGGCGAAAAUUUUGAAAAAAAGAAGAAGAAAAGUGUACCUCCACGAUCGACCAGAACAUAGGUAGGAAGAGAACCAGGCUUGGAUAUAACCGAAAUCCCAAAGUCAUCAAAACCUUUACAAGCUUUUCGGUUUUCUUCAGGGUAAACCACAACACCAGCCAUGCUUCCACCACAUUGAGGUAUCCCAAAGUUCCCAAUCGCACUAUCAUGGGUUGCUUUAAUCUUCUCCGGCGAUGUUACCGCCAAGCUCUUCUUUUCCACCACGAAUCUCGCGUAACAAUUGCGUAUCAAAGAUAAUAAAAUAAACACUUGAGGAAGAUGAUGAUG